rnacentral:rRNA from 1 species
AUUGAACGCUGGCGGCAGGCCUAACACAUGCAAGUCGAACGAGCGGCGGACGGGGGAGUAAUGUAUGGGGACUGCCCGCUCGAGGGGGAUAACUACUGGAAACGGUAGCUAAUACCGCAUACUAUCGGAUAACCCAUAUGGGAUUAGCUAGUAGGUGAGGUAAUGGCUAACCUAGGCGACCAUCCCUAGCUGGUCUGAAAGGAUGAUCAGCCAAACUGGGACGAGGACACGGCCCAGACUCCUACGGAGGCAGCAGUGGGGAAUAUUGGACAAUGGGCGCAAGCCUGAUGCAGCCAUGCCGCGUGUAUGAAGAAGGCCCUAGGGUUGUAAAGUACUUUCAGUCGGGAGGCGUUACCGACAGAAGAAGCACCGGCUAACUCCGUGCCAGCAGCCGCGGUAAUAC